AUUGCAUGUUAUGGUGUCUUUUAGGGUGAUAGCUAUGUGAAGAUGGUGGUGGCAGCCAUUAUUUCAGAGACUAUCCCUGUCUUCAUCAUAAGUGAUUUUAUAUGAUGAGUAACAUGGCUGCAAACUGCAUUUAUACUCACAGAGUGUAUUCUCAGCUGUUAGUGCGGACUGCUGAGGGAACAGUGGACAAAAUCCGUCAGACAGACAGCAAUGCCAACUUCCGGUGUUUCACAUUGGAGGUAUAGUGAUAAGAUUCUCGCACUCAGGAAUCAUAAACUAUGGUGCUACAUUCUGUCAUGCUAGGUACUGUCAGGCCUUUACUGUGGUUGGUGUUUCUGUGAUGUAGCUGGAUUUUAGUGUCUUUCUUUAUUAAGUGGUCCAUGUAGAUUGUUUUACUAGCCAGUACUAUUGCACCCUUGAAGUUUAUCUGGUUCUUUUGGACACCAAAGGAAUGGCUAUAAUGGCAGGGUACAUGGGCUUUUUAGAGAUGGAAGCUACCGAGAUCAAGGUACACUUUUACAACUUAAACAGGGAUAUGGAACUCACUCUAAGCUGUAUUGUCACAGACAUACUUCAACAGAAGGGGGCCAUGAGAACAACCAUAUUCUGUAAUGAAGCUCCAACAACAGCUACUGUGGCAAUGUGUCCAGUGUGUCAUCACUGACCGCCUAAUUCUGCCACCAGUCUCUCAGCAGUCUAUGUCAGGACAGCUGAGAGCAUUCUCUACUAGUACAGUCGAAGAAAAAAUAUAACAAAACUUUGGUACCAUGCAAGGCAUUGUCAUGACUUAGAGUUUCAAAACACCCUACGGCACAACACAUGGCAUGUAAGAAAAGACGGGACAAGGAUGAAUCAGCUGAAGUGGAUAUUAAUGGGAGCACACAAAUGUAGUUAAAGGCAAAAUGUCAGUGGCACACAUGAAAGGGUAAGUAGAGCCAGGUAAAAGAGUGACUGAGCACCUUUCACCAGGUUCAGGGCUGGAAUUUGUGGUAGAUGUGGUUACAUGAUACCUACUUUGUACCACAACUUGUACAAAGCUACUUGAAAUAUCUGAAGAGAUUUACAACAAUGAAAUGGGUAGGAACGAAUCCCCUAUAGCUAAUGACAGGAAAUAGAUGCACUACAAUGUUACAAGAAUUUGUAAUUCCCUAGGGUUUUCAGUUGAUACUUGAGUGUGCACCUAGUUCUGAAAAUAAAUUUCUACCUCUGUCUAGAUUGCAAUACACUUGAGAACAUAGAAAGAGCUGAUAAUAUCAAGUAGUGCGUUUGAGGAAACAUGAAGAAGGUGAACAUUUUAAUUGACUCAUAAGUUUUUGCUUAUAAGAGUCUGAAAUUUAUAAACCUGUCUCCAGACCCCAUGCUAGAACUACUUACAAAUUUUGUUAUUUAUCGAUUUCUGUUAGAAAUAUCUUACAGAGGCCUGAGUAGUAUAAAAUGAGGAUAAAGUGCACCAGUCUGAUUCAGUGCUAAAAUAAUACUCAUGUUUGUGAAAAUAGAUAAAUUACAUAAUUUCACUUAAACAGUGGUUACUAGCAACAAUAUUUUUGGGCAGUUUUAAAAAUUCAUUAUUUUCUUCAGACAUUCAGAAAAUUAAUUUUAAAUGUGUUGGAAUAUAUCUGGUUUAGACUUUGAAACUACAAAUCAAAUCAGUUUAUAUUCACUUUCUUUUAGUGAAGCACAAUAAAUUUCAUUUGAUAUGAUGAUAAUUCCAACAACUGCAUUCUACUGAAAAUUGUGAAUCCUUGCAUAUGAGUAUAAAUGGGUUCCAUUUAGCACCUGCGUAUUUGUCAGUUCUAUCAGAAAGUUUAUAUCAUGUUGAGAAAAUCUAUUUAGUUUGUUUAAAUUUCUACCUUAAUGCACUUCAUGCAGAUUGUUUGCUCAGUGUAUUGUGUCAGACUUCACUCUUUAAGUAAGAAAUUCAAUUAUCUGAUAUUAAGACAUUUUUACUACAUUCAGUUGCUUAAAAUUUUAAUUAAAAAUCAAUAAUAUUUACUGACAAUUUAAUCUGUACAUUGUUUGUAAGACUUGUGUCAUGAAAUUUGCAUUAUGUAUUACCUAUGUAAUUUAAAUAAUGUUAUUGAUAUUGAUAUUGUUACUUAAUCACUGAUAUAUGUAUAAAUGUUGAUGUGUGAUAUAUGAAAUAAGUAACACUGCUGCAGUCUCCUUGAUCUCUAUUACUGCUAAUGCUACUACCUAUCAUCUCUAUGACAACUGUUCCAAGGUCCUGAAAAAAUGAUGCACUAGUCAUUAUUAUGUACAAAGUGAAGAAUAUUUAUAAUGUGGUUAUUAUGUAUAAUUUACCAUAUGUGGAUGUUACACAUAAGAUUCAUGCUUAGCAUAAGGAUAUUGGAUGCAGCUCACUUUGUCUGUGUCAUGGUCCCCAAAAUUUGUUAUGAUGCACCUGUCCUUCUGCAACCAGUGCUCCCAUCAUUAGUCUUACAUCCUACUACUCCAUUCUCACAUGGAGUCCAUAUUUAUAAACAGAAAUAAUUAGUAUACAUUUCUCUCACAUAAUACAGUACUAGUUUCACAAGAUUGGACUUUAUUCAUUUUUUUAUUUGGAAAGAAAACUGUGGUAAGUUUUGCCUUAUCAUAGAAUGAAAAAUAUAUUUACUGCUGUUUUACCAGUGCUGUAUAGUUUCGAUACUGACAGUGUCACUAAAUGACAAACUAUGAAGAAAAGUAAAACACUGUUUUAAAUUAAUGUAAUAUGUAAGACCCCACUUAUGUGCUGUAACAGUCUUAUUACCAAGUACUUAUGUACUUUGUUAAUAUUAUGGAUGAAUUUAUCAUUUUUUAGGGAGAACAUGGUAUGAUAUUUUAGUAAUGUGGGGACACCAAGAGAUGCUGGAAUAGUGGAAUAUGGUCUUCCUUCCACAAAACAUUGCCUUGCCACUAUUACUACUCAGUCAUCCACUAUUGUUCUCCCAGAGGGAAAUCCCUGAAAGCUUUCUAACUAUUGUUGAACUUAAAUAUGUGGGUAGAUAAUUUUUUAAACAACAGGUGUAAAAUGUUUAAAAAUGGACAUACAGUAGAUAAUAAACCUCCUCUACUGUAGUACAAAUCUAAACAGUACUGGGCCCUCUUUAAGGAGCUUUUAUUUUUUAUUCUUCUUUAUAACACCAGAAUUAGAAUCUGAAUUUUGGUUAUCUACUCAUUAGGGAUUUUUGAAGCCAAACACCGAAAAUAAAGCACAGAUUGCAAUUUCAUUUCAAAAGGACUAUGCAGUUAAAAAAAUCUUUGGGUACUUUAUAAUAUGCUGUAUAAUCCACAUAUUGCCAUAGAAUUUAUUGAAAGGAGAUUUUAUAGAUUAAUUUUCAUUUGUUAAAUUAUCUAAGCUGUAUUGUCAAUUUUAAUGUUGAUAACUUUAACUGAAGUAUACAUGAUAAUUAUACUACUUGUUGAAAUAUUACUUGAUUUAAUUUGUGUGGGCAUUGUUGAAGGUGCAACUUCCUGCUGUGCUCAUAUACUGUUGGUGUGUUAUGUUGUCACUCUUUAUAAAUGUCACUGCUUCAAAAAUCUAUGAGCAUGACAAGAAGUUGUAUCUUCAAGACUGUGCAUGCCAAUUAAAUCAUUAACCAGUUCAACUGCAUUCUAAAGUAUGUUAUGAAAUAUUACUUAUUCAUUUCAUAAAAAUAUCCCUGUUUAAGAAUAAUUUGUUUUACCAGGUAAUUUUACAUACAAUUCUGUUGUUAAUGGAGGAAAAUGAACAGUGGCCAUCAAUUCUUUGGAUUCUCUUUUAUUUCAAGACUUUAUAAUUUAACUCUUACAUUUAGAUAUUUUAAUUAUUAACAUUACUUAAUCUGAAUACCAGCAAUAUGUCUACAGAAAAGCAGUAAUUAAUUCUUUGAAUGUUCUGUAAAAAUAUGUUCCAACUUCCCAUCCUUUUGCUCAUUGAAAUAAUUUGCUCACAUCCAUAAAGACGUUGGAUAAUUUACAAAAUAUGUGAAACUAGGAUGUCAAAUAGGUUACAUUUCUUAUCAAAGAAAAAAUGAGGAGGGAGGAGAAUCUCAAUCCUGUCUGUGCUGUGAUGGACUUUCAUGACAAAUAUAGGAGAUGUCAGAUUUUUUUUUUCUAGGGGUGAGUAGCCAGAAAACUUGCCUACAAACUUACAUUUAAGCUAUUUAAGAUUAUUAUAUCACAUAUUUUCUCUCAAUGUGGUUUCAGUACAUCUGUAGAAAUUUUUGCACCAGUUUCCUGUAAAAUAACUCUGUAACUGCAUUAAAGUGAAUAUGAAAGGAAAAGGAAUUAUGAUAUUAAUUUAUAAUAUCUACUGUUGUGUGAAAAAUUUAACUUCAAAAUUCCAUAUAACAUUAACUGGGUUCUCAGGAAGAAAGCAGCCAUCCUAUUCUUAAUAUCCAUCAGAUUCACACAGGUAUGAACACGGCACUUUCUUUCCAAAAGCAUGUUUGCUGGUACUCUCACCCACUUUUUUGUAGUAUCCAUCAGAUUCAUACAUGCAUGCAUGCACGUACGUAAAUGCACGCACGUAAAUGCACAUAUGGGCACACAGCAGUCUUCUCUCUAAAAACAUGUUUGUUGGUACUCUGAUGCUUGGGUUAGGCUUAAGGUCAAAACCUACAAUACACAGACAAUGAGUAAUUUUUUUCUUGAUGCCAGCUUGCAUCAGUCAUAUUUUGAUGUGCAUACCUGCUGGAAAUAUGUGUUUGUGCUCAUGCCCUUUUAUUAGAGCAGAUUUUCCACACAAAUGGUAGCUACUAAGCCUUUGAUUUUGGCUUAAUAAUGCCUUAAUAAUAGAAAAACAUUUUGAAAAAAACAGCAGUUUGUGUAAAACUGAAAGUUAAAGAUUAAAGCACAGCAGGCUUGAAAGGUUUUCCAGUAUGUUUAGUUAAUACUUUUAUAGACUACUAUGUGGAACAUAAAUUAUUUUAAGACAACGAAGAUUUCAUGUGGGAGCAAAGUAAUCUGGUAAAUGGUAACAGUAAUCAUCACACACACUUUAUAAAACUUAAUUUAAAGAAAAUUAAUAAUUUAUAGUUUACUUUAUCAUUCCUUUCAUCUUGUUCCAAACUAGAUGUGAAAAUUUGAGUUAAUGUUAAAAAGAUCACUGCACUUGGAAUUUUUAGUAAGGAAACAAUUUUCCUUCAUGGGCAACAUCAUGACUAAGUUAUAGCUUUUGCCAUUAUUUAUUUAUCCUUUUUGUUUUAAGCAUAUUUACUGCUAAACUAUAUGAACUACAUUCUUCUGACUCAUACUGUUACAAAAUCACAUAUUUCAUCUCUUGUGUGCUGUAGCUUGAGAGGGAUUUAUGCAGAAAACUUGUUAUAUCAGUACCCCUUCCUCUAAGUAGACCAGAAGGAAGAAUAAAUCCUACCACACAGUUGAGCUGGUAAUCAUUUACACUAUUACAAGCAGUGCUAUAUUACAUCCAGGUUUUUGAUAAAAUUACAGAAUCAAUUAAAACCAGUAAACUCUUUAAUAAUUUUAGUGUGAAUCAUUAUUGGUCAUUAUUUGUAGUGUGAUACAUAAACUGUAACUAUUGAGCGUAGGUAUCUUACAACAAGAGGUAUAAAUUGUUUUUGAGAUAAACCUAUAAGAAGAAUUAAAAAACUAUUUGCUAUUAGUGUAUUUAUGCACGGCCAAAUUUGCAAUGUUGCAUUUGCAUUGUUGCCUGAAGAAUAUUGUACGCCUUGAAUGGAACAAUACUGGUAUCAUGUCUCUGUAAGUGGUGUAUGUAUGUGAGUUAUGAAAUGUUAAUCUGAUUCAUGAGGCUAUUAAUAUCUCAUAUUUAUACAGUGUUAACAUUUAAACCUUCUUCAGUACAUUUCAAAUUAUAAAUAUUCCUUGUGAGGCUCUGAGGUUCCCAACUCUUUCUGUUAAUUUUCAUCUAGAUAUAAAUUAUUUAUCAUAGAUGUGAUAUUCCUUUGUUUAGGAUAAAGAAUAUACCUCUUUCUGGAGAAUGUGGAAGAUGGACUAUUUGAAAGACUCAGUGAUGGAUGGAGUUAAACUUAGUGUUGUAUUUUGAUUUUAAUUCUUUGGAGUGGAAUCAGUUAUAAGAAAAUAAUAUGCUGAUCCUUAACACAGUACAUACCAGCAUGUUGUGGUUCACAGGCAUCUAAAGCUGUUCUCUCUGAAAUCGUCUUGAUACAUUUUGUAAACGAAAACAUGUCCUCUUUUUAUUUAUUUGUUAUUUUUUACAGUUUCAGUCUAGCAGAAGAUUGUCUGCUAAUCUCUCAAAGCACAUAUUCUUAUGUGAUGCAAAUGAACAAAAUGGAACAUAAAAUCUAAAAGUCCAAGAUGUUGGUAUAUUAAUACAAUUGUAGCCACUACUAAUAAUUUAUUAACUGUUAUCAAUUUCUUUAUCUGAAAUGUCUGACAAUAUGUCAAUACAACCCUUUGCAACAAUUUCUUCUCCACCCAGCACUGCAUUGGUAUUCUUUUCAGCAGACAUAUUCAUGUACAGUAGAUCAGGAACUGUUGUAAUUGUAAGCAUUAGUUAGCUGAUGUGUCCUGUCUAAACUGAGGCUAACCCUGGUUGCAUGUGCUGCAGCAAAGUAAGCGCACAAGACCUAAACCAUUCAGAUAUAUGAGGAAGGAGUUCUUCCUGACUAAUACUCUUUGCUCCAGUAAUUGUUUAUUGUGAUGUAUGUGCUAACAACAAAGAUUUAAGAACUGAUAGUUGAUGUCAAACCUGCAAAUUUCACAGCACUAUGCAAGUAAUGUAUUUAUUUUCUUUUGUGAUGGCAAAUUUUUGCAGUUGGUAGUUUGCAGUGUUUCAGAAACUUUAGAACCUUCAUUUUCAAGGCCGAAAUUACUGACAGCUGAUCCGUUUCUCAUAUUUAUAGUUCUGUACCAUGUGUCUGAGGAAUCUUUUUCUGUUCAGUUUCUAUAGCUGCAUGGCAAAAAAUAAUAUCAUUUAUGAAUAAGGCAUCCUGAAAAUGGAGACAGCAAUUUCUUUUUUUAAUGCUGGCAAACCACUCUACCUUAACAUGACGGCAAUACCGAGAAAGAAAUUAAAAAGAAUACAUAUAAGUGAACUACUUUUAAGACCCAAAGAUCUGCCUUUGUUAGUUCCUUGUCCUGUGAAUUAUUUUGUUUUAUCACUACAUUUUCCGAUUCUUCUGAAGAUGAUACUUAUUUUUAUGUGAAGAAGACAUUCAUCAUUUUAAAGCAUCUUUUGGCUGUCUUUAGUUUUCAUAUACCAUACUGUAUCCCAUUGGAUGAAAACUGAAACUUACACAGGGAUUGUAUGCUCUUUGAAAGAUUUCAUGUUAUACAUACUUAUACAUCCAGGCAAUAAUCUUCCUCUCCUACAAGAGAUAUCCAGAGCAAGUCAAAUGUUGGGAAAUUUAUUUGAUAUGAUGUCCUUUAUUGCUGUAUUUUGCCUGACUUUCAGUUUUAUUAAUCUUGUUAUAAUGAAAUCUUUUAAAAAUUAAAUCACAGAACACUGUGUGAAGUUAAAUAAAAUGGCUGGAGUUGAGUGACAUUUCA